AAAAAGAUAAACCCUGGUUUCUGUGCCCAACAUUUGACUGUCCGUCUUAUUUGAAAAAAAUUAAAAGACAAGUCACGUAUAAAAUAUUAAUCAUGUUUUAUCAUCUAACAACAAUGAAAAUACGAAUUAUAAAAAAAAUUCAUAUAAGACGGACAGUCAAAGUUGGACACGGAAACCCAGGGUUUGCCUUUUU
rnacentral:pre_miRNA from 1 species